UGAGGGAUUUUCGGCAAUGGGCGAAAGCCUGACCGAGCGACGCCGCGUGAGCGAAGAAGGCCUUCGGGUCGUAAAGCUCUGUCUAGGGGGACGAGGAAGGACGGUACCCCUGGAGGAAGCCACGGCUAACUACGUGCCAGCAGCCGCGGUAAUACGUAGGUGGCGAGCGUUGUCCUGAAUUACUGGGCGUAAAGGGCGCGCAGGCGGUUCGUUAAGUCCAAGGUGAAAUCCCACGGCUCAACUGUGGGGGGACCCUGGAUACUGGCGGGCUGGAGUGCGGGAGAGGGAAGCGGAAUUCCACGUGUAACGGUGAAAUGUAUAGAUAUGUGGAGGAACACCGGUGGCGAAGGCGGCUUCCUGGACCGUAACUGACGCGGAGGCGCGAAAGCUGGGGGAGCGGACAG
rnacentral:rRNA from 1 species